UCAAGUUCUGAGGCCCGCGGUGCGCGGCGUGGGGUAGGCGGCGCGGAGUGGGCGGCGCGGGGUGGGUGGAGUGGGUCGGCGGCAGGGAUCCUGCCGAGCCCGCAGCCGCCCUCUCUCAGCGCCGAGCCUCCUCCCUGGCCCUGGCUCGUCCCACCUCAGCCACAGCCCGGCUCCCUGGCCGGCCGAGCUCUCGCCGCCGGCGCCCUGGGGACCUCGUGGGUGUGGCCGGCGGCGACCUCGGCAGGCGACAGCCCGGCAGACGGGCACCAGGUGGACGUGCCACAGUCUCCAGACCCCCGUCCCGGUGCAGGGAAGGUGGGCGUUUGGACCCCUGAGGCAGAAACAGGUGCGGCCCCGCCGGCGCAUCCCCCGGAAGGGACGCUGUCUUCGUUCCCCUGGAGCCUGCGUCGGGGCCCGCGCUGGGCUGAGAAUUACGGGAACGCCGUGAGAGUUUGCGUUCCGAGGAUUUGGUCUAAGAACCUCACCGCGGAAAUAGAGAACUGCCCCGGGAGAGCCGGCCCACGUGCCGGCCACCGGCGCCUUGACGGCAGGGAGAGGUCGAGCUUCCAGGGAGCGGGCGCCCGGCGCGGGGCUCCCAGCCUGUCUGUACCUGGCCGAGACACCCCGUGCCAGAGGCGGAGCGUGUAUGAAAUGCCGGGUGCCCAGAGGACCCAGGCAGUCCGUCAUUCACAUACCAACCCACGUGCAGGCUUCAGUUCAACGUUGAAGCCAUUUGGGCCUGGGCUUUUUUGAUGACUUAUUUGAUUCGUAGUUUUUUGGUUACUAAUUGAGUCUCUUCACUUGUUAAUAGGUCUGUUGAGAUUGUCUGUUUUUUUCUUGAGUCAGCCGUCUGAAAAGAACACGAGGUGGACAGGGCGGAGCGGUCAAGGAAAGCCAUAGGAGGAAGGCACUUACUUGAGCAAAGACAAGCGGGACGUGGGUGUCGAGGGUGAGGGUAUCUGCAGAAGUAGUGUCUUGAGCAGGGAGCAUGGCAGACAGAGCCUCUGAGAUACAGAGCUUGGAGUGUAAGAAACACAGCAGAGGCCGCUAAGUCGAGAACCCAGGAGCUGGAAAGACUGGAAAUGGGCAGCCUUCAGAAGACUGAGCACAGGGAAGGAUAUGACUAGCCCUUUAAAAGGGUCAUUCUGACUCCUGGGUGAAGAACAGACUAGGAACGGCUGAGAAGGAGGCAGGAGGCCAUCCACUGUCAGAUGGGAUGUGGAGUGUGACCCGGAAAGGUCAAGGGUGACUCCAAGGGCUUUUUGUAUACUGAUCUUUUAUCCUGCAACCUUGCUAAACCCAUGUAUUAGUUCUUGUCUUUUAGUGGCAUUUAUUAGUUCUUCUGGUCUUUUAGUGGAUUCCUUGGGAUUUUAUACAAAAGUGUGUCAUCUGUGAAUAGAAAUCAGUUUAUCUCUUCCUUUUUAGUCUGGAUGUCUUUUAUUUCUUCUCCUUGCCUAGCUGCCCUGGCUAGAACCUCCAGUACAAUAUUGACUAGAAGCAGCAAGAGUGGACAUCCUUGUCUUGCUUCUGAUCUCAGGGAGGAGGCAUCCAGUCUUUCACCAUUGGAUAUGAUGAUAGCUGUGGGUGCUUAAAAAAUAGGUUUUAUCAGGCUGGGCGCAGUGGCUCACGCCUGUAAUCCCAACCCUUUGGGAGGUCGAGGCAGGCAGAUCACUUGGGGUCCAGAGUUUGAGACCAGCCUGGCCAACAUGGAGAAAUCCCAUCUCUACUAAAAAUACAAAAAGUUAGCUGGGAGUGGUGGCGGGUGCCUGUAAUCCCAGCUAAAAGAGGGAAACUAAUAAAAAAAAAAAAAAAGGUACUUCCUCAACCUGAUAAAACCUAUUUUUUGUUUGUUUGAGACAGUGUCUCACUCCGUCACCCACGCUGGAGUGCAGUGGCUGGAUCUUGGCUCACUGCAACCUCUGCCUCCCAGGUUCAAGUGAUUCUUCUGCCUCAGCCUCCCGAGUAGCUGGGACUACAGGCACACGCCACCACACCCAGCUAAUUUUAUAUUUUUAGUAGAGAUGGGGUUUUACCAUGUUGGCCAGGCUGGUCUUGAACUCCUGACUUCCAGUAAUCCACCCCCCUCGGCCUCCCAAAAUGCUGGGAUUAUAGGCGUGAGCUACCACGCCCAGCCGAGGAAGUAUCUUCUAUUUCUAGUUUGUUGAGUGUGUUUAUCAUGAAAAGGUGUCAGAUUUGGUUAAAUGAUUUUUCCACAUCCAUUGAGAGGAUCGUGUGCUUUUUUUCCUUGUUCUAGUAAUGUGGUGUGUUACAUUAAUUGACUUUCAGAUAUUGAAAGGACACUUAUCCCCUGCGUUCAGAUAAAUUCCAGUUGGUCAUGGAGUAUCUGUCUUCCUGGAUUCAGUUUAAUACAAUUUUGUUGAGUGAUUUUUUUAAUCCAUAUUCAUCAUAGAUACUGGUCUGAAGUUUUCUUGUGGUGUCUGUGUCUGGUUUUAGUAUCGGUAUCAGUGUCCUACUGGCCUCAUAAAAUGAGUUGGAAGUGUUCCUCUUCUUUUUUUUUUUAAGAUGGGUGUUCACUAUAUCAUCCAGGCUGGUCACCAAUUCCUGGCUUCAACUGAUCCUCCCACCUCAAGCCUCCUGAGUAGCUGGGAUCACAGGCACAAGCCACUGGACCCAGCUUUAAUUGUUUAAGUGUUUGAUAGAAUUCAUUAUUGAAGCCAUUUGGGUCUGGGCUUUUUUGAUUACUUAUUUUGAUUACUAAUUCAGUCUCUAUUUGUUGUAGGUCUAUUCAGAUCGUCUGUUUGUGUCUUUAGAGGAAUUUGUCCAUUUUAUUUAAGUUACAGUGUUUUGGGCGUAAGCAAUUUUAAGGAGAAAGUUAUCCUUAACCAAGAUGGGAAAGGUCAGGGCAGGGUGGUGCAGAGAUUUUACCUCCCACUGUGUCCUUUCCGCAAACUCCCCCGAAUGUAAUACCGGCGGAGUUCGGGCUGUGGCUUUGGCUGUGUUGAGUCACCACAGAGAGAGGCUUUAGAGCUGUGAGACAGGAAGAGGCACCAAGGAGCCAUUGCUCCGGUGGAGGAGAAGUGGAGGCAUGGUGCUUGGGCCUAGGGGCAGCACUUGGGAGUAGCCAGCCUGAAAGGUGAGAAGCCAGGAGAGGGGUCCCCAGCUUAUGGCCUGGAAGCUGACUCAGAUUUGGCGAGUGCAGGUUUUGUGGAAUGGUGGUGUAUUAGUCCGUUUUCACGGUGCUAAUAAAGAUACACCCAAGACUGGGCAAUUUACAAAAGAAAGAGGUUUAAUGACUUACGUUUCCACAUGGCUGGGGAGGCCUCACAAUCAUGGUGGAAGGCAAGGAGGAGCAAGUCACGUCUUACGUGGAUGGUGGCAGGCAAAGAGCGAGAUUGGGCAGGGAAACUCCCCCUAAUAUGAUACUGUCAGAUCUCAUGAGACUUACUCCCUAUCACGAGAACAGCAUGGGAAAGACCUGCCCCAUGAUUCAGUUACCUCCCACUGGGUCCCUCCCACAACACGUGGGAAUUCAAGAUAAGAUUUGGGUGGGGACAAAAGACAGGCAGGAGUUCCGAGGAUUAGUAUUUGCAUUCUGUCCCUGAGUUUGCUGUAAAGGAGGGCAGCGAGACAGAGGCAUGGGGCGCGGAAUGGCGUGUUUAAGAUGGGAGUGAUGACAGGUGCCCGUUGGAGUGAUGCAGUAGACAGGAUCUGAUGAUGGGGAGCAGGUGUCAUGUGCACUUGAGCAGGAGCCCAGCAGAGAGACCCUUUUUCUUCCUGCAGCAGCAGAAGAGAAGGCAGCAAGGUGCAGGACUGAAGGAGGGCUGGGCUGGGAUGGGAGCCUGGCUGGUUUUCCCCUGGUGGCCCUAUGAUUGGUUAAGGGUAGGGCAGAGGCAUGGCAGGUUGGAGGCACAGAAGGCCCAGGAUAGUUAUCUGGGCUGGAUGUGGGGCAGUAUUCUCGCCUCUCUGGGGACAUCCCUUAAGUGGACAGGAAGGCCGGGUGGUUCAGGUGUAUGUCCACUCACCAAGAACACAGGAUGAAGGUGGAGCCUAGACAGUGGCUGUUUUGACCAGGGCAGAACAGUUGAGGGCAUGUGUGAGGGUCCAUGCUGAUGCCAGACCUCAGUGGGGAGUGGGGAGAGAGGAGAGUCCAGGGACCAGAGGUCCCCCUAGGCUUAAAGAACAAACCACAAGAAGAGGAAGAAGUCUCUAUGUCAUCAAAGUUUCAUUAUCAGGGCUGCUAUAAUGCUUCUCAUUGCUUAUUAAAACCCAAUUCUGCAAGACCAGCCUAGCCAACAUGGUAAAACCCUGUCUCUACUAAAAAUACAAAAAUUAGCUGGGCAUGGUGGCACGUGCCUGUAAUCCCAACUACUCAGGAGGCUGAGGCAGGAGAAUUGCUUAAACCUGGAAGGCAGAGGUUGCAGUGAGCCAAGAUCGUGCCACUGUACUCCAGCCUGGGAGACAGAGGGAGACUCUGUCUCAAAAAAAAAACCAAAAAAAGAAAAAAAAAAACAACUAAUUCUGGCCCAGCAUGGUAGUUCACACCUGUAAUCCCAGCACUUUGGGAGCCCAAGGCAGAAGGAUCGCUUGAGCCCAGGCAUUCAAGACCAUGCUGGGCAACAAAAUAAGACCCCACCUCUACAAAAAAUAAAAAAUAAAAAAAUGGAAGGAAGCAAUAGUGUGCCCCUGGGGUCCCAGCUACUCAGGAGGCUGAGGUAGGAGGAUCACUUGAGCCCAGAAGGUCGAGGUUGCAGUGAGCCAGGAUUGUGCUGCUGCACUCCAGCCUGGGUGACAAAACAAGACCCUCUGACUAAAAAAAAAAGAAAAAGAGAAAAAUAUUUUUGUUAGAGCAAAACAGGCUGAACUUUUUUUUGUUUUAUUUGUUUUUGUCUUUUUUUUUGAGACAGAGUCUCACUCUGUUGCCCAGGCUGGAGUGCAGUGGCACGAUUUCGGCUCACUGUAAGCUCUGUCUCCCGAGUUUACGCCAUUCUCCUGCCUCAGCCUCCUGAGUAGCUGGGACUACAGGCGCCCACCACCACACCUGGCUAAUUUUUUGUAUUUUUAGUAGAGACAGGGUUUCACCGUGUUAGCCAGGAUGGUCUCCAUCUCCCGACCUCGUGAUCUGCCCGUCUUGGCCUCCCAAAGUGCUGGGAUUACAGGCGUGAGCCACUGCGCCCAGCCCUUUGUUUCGUUUUUAAUGUUGAGACUAGGUUACAGCAUUAUUAGAUAUAAUGAAGGUAGAGGGAAGGUGCUCAGAACUCUCCUACAAGCAUAGCAGCUCUUCAGGCACAGCUCCAGUAACUCCAGGGCCCAGCCUUCUGGGGAGGAGUUAGAUGGGCACAUUCCUUCAGGGGCUCCCACCUGCCCACAGAGAGCACAAGAGGAGAAUUCAUCCUGUUUGCCCUGCUUUUCCCCUCUUGUUCCUAGACACAUCCUGAGGGUCCCACCAAGUGGACAUUGGCUUAUUCUACAAGCAACAGGAUGAGGCCCCUGGACUCCUCACUAGCGAAAUAGUGCAGUGACAGCAACGCCCCCCUCCCCCAAAGAUGUCCACAUCUUAAUUCCUGGAACCUGUGAAUGUGUGACCUUACCUGGUGUCUUAGUUCAUUUGUGCCACUAUAACAAAAUACCACCGACUGGGUAAUUUAUAAAAAAUAUAAAUUUAUUUCUCAUGGUUCUGAAGGCUGGAAAGUCCAAGAUCAAGGCACUGGCAUGUCCUCUGUCUGGUGAGGGCACUUCGUUACUGUUUCCUCUGGAGGGAAGAAUGCUGUGUCCUCACAAGGUGGGAUGGACAGAGGGGCAAGAAAAGGCCAGACUCCACAGGAAGCCUCUUUUAUAAGAGGAGCCCUUGUGACUUAGUCCUAAGUGGCCCCACCUCUUCUUUCACCACACUGGGGACCAAGUUUGUUGUUAGUUAACCUAAAUGACAAACAGAGGAGCUCUCUAAAGAGAUAUUUAUUCAGGAAUAGGUCUUUGCAACGGGAACACGCAUAUUACGGUAACUGCAUGUUCAAGGAAGACAAAAGUUUUAAAGGAAAAGAGGAAGAUUACAUAAUCAUUUUGAAAUGAUUACCCUUGGCUACAAAGAUUAAUAGCAAGGGAGACACCGGUCCAAGUUUGGAAGGUAGCUGCUGGGCAGGUAUCCUUGCAGAAGUAUUUUCUUGUGUAAGAUUUCAAUGGCCUUGGCCAGGUGUGGUGGCUCACGCCUAUAAUCCUAGUACUUUGGGAGGCUGAGGUGGGCCAAUCACUUGAGGUCAGGAGUUCAAGACCAGCCUGGCUAACAUGGUGAAACUCUGUCUUCACUAAAAAUACAAAAAUUAGCCAGGCAUGGUGGUGCACACCUGUAAUCCCAGCUACUUGGGAGGCUGAGGCAGGAGAAUCACUUGAACCCAGGAGGCAGAGGUUUCAGUGAGCCAAGAUUGCGUCACUGCACUCCAGCCUGGGUGACAGAGCAAGACUUGGGCUCAAAAAAAAAAAAAUUCAAUGGCCUUUGUGCAAGGUUGUGGUUUUUGCAGUCUUUUGUGAUAGUUUUUGUUAUCGGGCAUACAGACCCUCUCUUCAUGGCCUUCCCUAGCUCUAUUUGUUAGGGUUUUCUUAACAUUAGUCACUGUUUUGAUUCUGACAACUUUCAGUUUCAACAUGAAUUUUGGAGGGGAUGACAUCUUUUAAAUCAUCGUACCUGGUAAAAGGGACUUUGGAGAUGGGAUUAAGUGAAGGGCCUUGAGAUGGGGUGUUAUCCUGCACUAUCCAGGUAGUGCAGUCAUAAGAGGAGGCAGGAGCUUCACAGUUGGACAGAAGAUGUGAACACAGAAGCAGGGGUCAGGGGAGAGAAGAUGCUGGCUUUGAAAGCAGAGGAAGGGGCCGCAAGCCAAGGAAUGUGGAGACCCCUAGAAGCUGGAAAAGGCAGGGACAGAUUCCCCCCUACCCUAGAGCCUCCAGAAGGAGCCACCCUGCCAACACCUUGCUUUACCUCAGUGAGAUAAUUUAGACUUCUGACCUCAGAACUGUAAGAGAAUAAAUACUUGUGUUUCGACCA